UGUGGCACCUGCGGCUGCCUCCCAGUCCUCUCUGAGCGUUGAGACUCGUAGAGACGCACUCUACGGUUUUCAGAGUGCGCGACUCCACACCGACGAUAGCCUUAGAGGAGGAGAACUCGUUAGGGUCACACUGCGCCGCGACUCGGAAGCAGUGACCGCUGACUCUGGCUUGCGACCCCUGACCGGUGUCCCAAGUCAUCUGAAAGCAAGUAAUGAAGGGAGCAGAAUAAGAAGAAAGGAAUUCGAAAUUUGCCUUGAGGCCAACAGGAGCACUCUGCCUCUUACAGAGAUGGGCGUUCCCUGGACAUCAAGCCCCCAGGAAUGCAGCGGGGUGCUGACUUGUGAGAACACGUAGCAAGCUUCCGGGGGAGGCCUCUGGUUGCCAGCAGAACCUGGAAGAGACAUGGGACCCAAAGGUGUUUUCUACUGUGACAUUGGGACGUGACUGCUCUGACCACGUUAGUCUAAUUACGUCUCAUGCUGCAGGGAGUCGUUUGGAGUCCAAAUACGGAUGGUCCCAUAGGCCCUUCCCGAAAUUUCUUUGUGCUCCCCAUGCCGGCCUGUGUGUGCACGCCCAGAAGCCUGAGAGGAGAAUGGGAGGGAAGAGACUGUGGUGUGGCC